rnacentral:rRNA from 1 species
AUUAGAUACCCUGGGUAGUCCACGCAGUAAACGAUGAAUACUAACUGUCCGGGUCGAUUGGGACCUGGGUGGUACAGCGAAAGCGUUAAGUAUUCCACCUGGGGAGUACGCCGGCAACGGUGAAACUCAAAGGAAUUGACGGGGGCCCGCACAAGCGGAGGAACAUGUGGUUUAAUUCGAUGAUACGCGAGGAACCUUACCCGGGCUCAAACGACGGACGAAUGUUUUUGAAAGGAGGCAGCCCUUCGGGGCGUCCGUCGAGGUGCUGCAUGGUUGUCGUCAGCUCGUGCCGUGAGGUGUCGGCUUAAGUGCCAUAACGAGCGCAACCCCCAUCGCCAGUUACCAUCAAGUAAAGUUGGGGACUCUGGCGAGACUGCCGGCGCAAGCUGCGAGGAAGGCGGGGAUGACGUCAAAUCAGCACGGCCCUUACGUCCGGGGCGACACACGUGUUACAAUGGCAGGCACAGAGAGAAGCGACAUGGCGACAUGAAGCGGAACUGUCAAAACCUGUCUCAGUUCGGAUUGGAGUCUGCAACCCGACUCCAUGAAGCUGGAUUCGCUAGUAAUCGCGCAUCAGCCACGGCGCGGUGAAUACGUUCCCGGGCCUUGUACACACCGCCCGUCAAGCCAUGGAAGCCGGGAGUGCCUGAAGUGUGCAACCGCAAGGAGCGCCCUAAGGUAAAACCGGUGACUGGGGCUAAGUCGUAACAAGGUAAC